rnacentral:lncRNA from 1 species
GUACUGUGAAAAGAUGCUUGGAAGCACAGUCAUGGUCCCUUGCGAAGCUCACAAUCUAGAGAGACACCCUCUUACUGCAGGAUAACCAGUCACUCUAAGCAGCCUGUGGAAACUGGGCUGAACACCCAAUAAAAGCAGAUCAUUCUGGGCUGUGCAGACUGGGGGCAGGAGAGGGAGGAUCUGGAUGGGCCGAGAGAGUGGAAAAGGCUGCUUCGUUUAAGUCAAAGGAGCAGGAACGCUUAGAGUUUGGAGAGGGAGGCCGGUCAGCAGAAGCCCAGGCUCUGCUAUGGAUGAGGUCAAGAGGCUGCUCAGAGCCCCGCGGUUAAGGCUAGCGAGUGUAACCUUUAUCCUCUGGCAACAGAGGGAUGAUAAAAGGUACUGAGAUAGUGAGUGGCAUCACCAAGCUAGAUUUUGGAAGAUUAACUGGCAGCGCUAAGUAGAACGGAGUGAGGAAGGAUUUUAUGUAUUGAGCAGAGCAAUGAAUAGAGAUUUUAAGGUCCUUCUUAGUAGGGAGUCUGUGACUCUAAACUGAAAGACAAGAGGGGAGAAAAAAAGGAAAUGACUCAUAAUCCACGGGAAGGGAAAGGAAGAGAGGAUAGACUUUUUUUUUUAUGACGCUGAAUAUAUAUAUACAUAUAUGGGUGUCAUGCAGUGAGUGGCUUGAUGUGAAAUCUCAGUUCCCAGACCAGGCACUGAACCCAGGCAGCAGCAGUGAAAGCACCGAGUGCUAACCACUAGACCACCAGGGACCUCCCUACACCUCUUUACUCAAUCAAGAGAAACCAGGACGGAAAAGGAGGAGGCCAGGUUGGCCACACCCUCUGUUUUACUGUCCUUCUUGGGUGGUAGUCUCAUCCCUUUAACUCACUCCCCAGGCAGCAGAAUGUGUGACAGACAUGCCGACAGUCCCCAGUCCUGCAAUAACCAGCCAUUUACUGCCUGGGCCUCAACAACAGACAACUUAAAAGGAUGGAGGGGCCUUGAACUAUCAUGUUUGACCUUGGAAUUGCAGGCAGUAAAUACAUUCAAGGCCAUGAAGAGGAAGCAACUUUAACCACUCCCUCAUCUUGAGAACCGAGGAAAGAGUCUGAAGAGGUCUCAUAAGUUAACUGACCACCACCAAAGUAUGGGAAUUAGAUGUUUAACCAUCAGGAAGUGACUAUUAAGCAAAGAAACCAAAGUUAAAACCAGCUCUAAAUGCUUAUUCCCUAGUAGAUAAUUAGUUGAAUAUACUGGCUUUUGUCUUUCUCAACCCAGUUCCAGGUUUUUUGGCAUAACUCUGGAGACUCCUUCCUGUAGGGAAAAAAAUAAGAUGGACAUUGAAAAUAAUAAGCACGGGUCACAGGCAAGCCUAUUAACCCGAAUAAAGUAAUUAUAAUAAUUUCAGGGCAUCUCCAUUGCUGCGCUCAGAUAAUUGGUUUAUAUUUAUAACUAAAAUGACCUUUCCCACAGCUCUAAAGUUUAGUGACGUUCCACUCCAUAAAGAAAAAAGGCGUGCAUAUUUCAGUUACACCCUCCAAAAAUCCAAUUCUGAGGUCUUUAUGGCUGACAAGUGAAAUAGAGCAAGGAGCUACUAUUAUUGGACUCAACGGCAAUAAAAAAAAAAAAAAUCCCAUAACUUCCAUAUACAGCAGUUGGACUUUUAAUGCACUGAAAAAACACUGUGGUGGGAAACUAACAUUUAAUAAGCCCCUACUGGGAGCCAGGGGCCAGCCUUUGGGUGUGGGGAGAGGGAUAAGGGCAGUUAAAGAGACAAAGAUCUCAUCCCAGAGCCGUUCGUAAGCAAUGCUCCUGGGUAGAAGGCACGUCUUGCUAUAGUUGUGCACGAAUAAUAACAGGGCAAGGGGUAAGUGUUGUAACAGAACUACCUGUACAAGGUGCUAUGAGAAGAAAGCAGGUAAGAGUGAGGUUCCUCCACAACAGAGUUCAUGGGAGACAAAUUCGAAGAAUUUGGGAGAAAGAGGAAAGACAUUUAGCUUGAACAUUUACAUUUGAACAUGUUUGAAGCCUCGAGGCCCAGAGGUAUAAUGUACACUAUAAACAUGCUGUAUGUAGCUGUACAUCAAUUACAAAUUAACCUGAGGAGCUCAGGUAUCACGUGCCAGCUGGUUUUCUUAGCUCACUUACAGGCAAGUGGCGAAGCCUCUCCAAGGUCAGUUCAGAUUAGGAAUGGGAUACUGAGCUGCACUGCUGGCAUGCUCCCAAUGUGCCAAAUGUAUACAAAGACUGAGAAAGCCACACCCCGCAAAAUGUUCACCCCAGGUACCUCUGAUGAUGGGACACAGGUGAUUUUUAAAUUGCAUGUGUAUUUUUUCAUAUCUCUGUUUAUAAUGUGAAUUUUAUUGAUGGAGACACCAUCUUUAAAUAAAUCCAUUUUACUGAUUAUUAUUAUGUAAAUCAGUUUUCCUACUGCAAAAGUAGUACACAUACAUAUAUACACACACACAUUUUUAAAAGACAGCAAUAUAAAACUGUAAAAAACCCAGAAAAAUUCUAUGUACUCUACCUUCCAAAAUAACCUCUGUUAACAUGUGGGUACAUUUCCUUCCAGAGGUUUGCUUUAUGCAUAUAAAGGUAUAUAUAUUAUUUUAUAAUCAUAAAACUAUAUAAAUGCUAGAAGUGCAAAAUAGGAAGAUCCUUUUCUGCUUCUAACUCUCUUUAAACAAAAAUAUCUCAGUGAAAUGAGACAUCAGUGAUAUUUGACUUUUUCCUUUUAUUCACAAAACACAAGCACCGGGAACCAUCGUAUGUGACUUGGAAUCUGUGGGUGAGGGGAGUGUCUUGGAUGCUUGAGCAGGAAAGUGGCUGUGACAGUGGUCAAUUAAAAGGCACUUUUAGGAGAAAAAAAAAUACUUCCUCAAGAGAAAAAGAGUACUUCCUCAGUGACCACGCACUGGUCGCCCUACUCGGCAUGCGGCACCUGCCGCUGCUUUGCUGAUUAGCUCAAUACCAAGUGCAUCUCCAGGAACACAUAUAGUCACUGGAGAGGCUGCCGUGAGGCCGGAUUGCUGGUGCCACCUGUUAUGUCAUAGAGCGUGUGGGUGGGUUCCCCUCUGAGGUCUUACUUGAGCUUCUCCAGUCAUACAGUCUGUGAAGGCAGCUUUACUGUAAACAACACCCAGAUAUUGGGGCCUAAGGAGUCGAGGCCCCAGGGCACUGGAAUAGCAUCCUGUGAUGGUAGCUGCAUCCUGCGCCUGGACGGUCACCAUGGCAACCUGAAAGGGGAUGAGGAAUGGCUCCCUGCUUCCUGCCACGUCAAGCACCGAGCAGAAUAGGGCCAGGUCUUCCGGGCUGGUGAACACAAACCUCCUGGCGAAGGUCCUGGUCUUCAAAGACAAAACAAGGCAAGAGCGCCGCUGAGUCAGCAGUGAGAGAAAGGAAUGUGGAGAGUGGGCCCUACGUGGAGACGCCAACCUCCUGUCUGUGAGAGAGAACAAGGCCAGAGGAGGGUGGCUCCCAGGGAGCGGUGGGCUGUGUCCAGCAAGCCUGGGCUCAAGACAUCCACCUGCUUGAGAAUUAGACUCACGGCGGUCAUGGGGUGACGGGCCACGGCAGACGUUGGCAACCUGUGAUGGUCACGGUGCCCUCUGCUUCUGCUUAAAACCAUGCGGGGCUUUGGGGGCAAUGACUGCACAACUGGACCACAUCUGUUCACCAGGAUGGGUCCCCUUGCUGGUGGUCGAAUCUAUAAAGUCGCUUUCUCCUCAUUUCUUCUUCUGGCGAGAGAUGGAACCCAUAGGGCGGGGGGCUAUUUCUGCUAUUUCCUAUAGUGAAAAAGCACAAGGGAGAAUCAAGCACUGUCCAUUCUGAUGUGUACAGGGCACUGCAUCCUAGGAUUCCAAGGGGUGUGUGUUGCGGUGGGCAGGGGGGCGUGGGGGCCGGGAGAUAGCUUGGGUGUCAUCUUUCUUUUAGCACGAAACAGAAAUAUAACAUAGUUCAACUUCAGCUGUCCAUACUAAAUUUCAACAUCAAAGAAACAUUUUUAGCCAGUGUUCCAUCCAUGAAAGUAAUUUGACUCAUUCUGAAAAUUCUUUUUUUUCUCCUUUUUACAGCUGCACCUGCAGCAAAGGGAAGUUUCUGGGCUAGAGGUCGAGUCAGAGCCACAGCUGCCAGGCUAUGCCACAGCCAUAGUAACACUGGAUCCUUAACCCACUGAGUGAGGCCAGGGAUUGAACCCACAUCCUCGCGGACACUAUGUCAGAUUCUUAACCUGCUGAGCCACAAUGCAAAUGCCUGAAACUCGACAAUCCUCCCAUUUUUAAGUUUUCUUCCACCAUGCUCCAUAAUUUGCAUCAUUUCACUUCUAUAAUGUCUCAAGGGCUUGGUUUAUUUACUUAUUUUUUUAAUGCCCAGAAAUAACUUGUCACCAUCUCUAAUGUUCCCACUGAGAGUGCUCAUAGGUUUUUCCUGACGAGCUUGUGGGUCUCCUUUUUCCUCCCUUUAAUCUUCUCCCUCCUGCACCCCCCAGCCUGUGGGAAUCACGCCUGCCUGAAACACAUAAGCACCCAUGGGGCAUCGCGGCCCACAGAGCAGGGACUGCAUUACCAUAAUGACCAGUAUCUGGGCAGGCAGGCAAAGAUGCAGGCAUAAAAUCUGAAGAUCGUAUGAAGCAUCAUGGAAAUCGCUACUGAAAAGGGUUUCUUGGGGCUGCAAAGAGACUCCCCCCAAAAGUUUGCAAUGAUGUAAAUAUUUUAAUUACUUCAUAAAAAACUUCCAGGCAUUGUGUGUGUUGGGGUGGGGGUGGGGGUAACAGAAGAAUAACUGUACAAUCCUUGACCUCAAGGAACCAGCAACCUAAACCUGAUGAAAGAGCUUCAACAGCCUCCAUGAGGCAGACACGGAUAGAGACACACAAAGAGUAGAUUCACUUUUUUUUCUUUAUUUUUUAGGGCUGCACUUGCAGCAUAUGGAGGUUCCCAGGUUAGGAGUCGAAUCAGAGCUGCAGCUGCUGGUCUGCACCACAGCCAUGCCAGAUCUUUAACCCACUGAGCAAGGCCAGGAAUCUAACCCACAUCCUCAUGGAUAUUAGUUGGGUUCUCAACUCUCUAAGCCACAAAGGGAAUUCCAACAGCAGGUUCAGUUUUAAGCAUGUGGACCACAAAGGUUGUACUUUCCCCUCCUAAGCCCCUGCUAGCCCUGGUAACUCACUCCGAAAGGUCCACUCCCAUCACCCACAACACCUGAGCUCCUACUCAUUUGCAGUGCCCCUUCCCAAUGGCACUGCCCUCUGGCCACCCCCAAAGGAAGGGCUCUCUCCCAAUUCAAGCUCAGCUUCCAGCACCUGCCUCUCGGUAGACAUCAUGCAACAGUCCCAACAUCCCGCCAGACAGAGCAGCCACUGGGCACACUGCUGCUCUCUAGGAUUGGAAGCUCUUAAAUGGCAGGGAUCAUUUGGGACACUUCUCUCUGCUCCCCAGUCCCCAGUACAGUCCGGGAUACACAGAAGCUGUCCAAGAAACGCACAGGCCCGACUCAGCAGCAUGUGCCCGUGACCUCUAAAGGUUCAUGUUCCAACCAGACAACCACAUUCAACACUGCCCCCUGAGGUUCUGCUUUACUGACCCUGGAAGCCCUGGCCUCGCUGGGAGGGGUGGGUGGGCAAGGGGGCUGGAGCAGGAGGGAGAGCGAGCCAAUAGCUGAUUCCUCCUGCUCAGGCUCCCAGUGUGGUACCUUGUCAGAGACGUCAGACGUGUACUGACAUGGCAACUGUUAAGACCAUGAUGAAAGGAUGCUUGAAAAAGCAGCGUGAAACUAAGGGUCAGUCUGCUAAGACACAACUGGAACUUUUUUAAAAUUGGUAUUUUAAUUAAUUAAUUGGCCGUGCCCAUGGCAUGCAGAAGCUCCCAGGCUAGGGAUCAAACCCACACCACAGCAAUGACAGCACUGGAUCCUUACCCUGCUGAGCCACCAGGGAACUCCCCACAAUUGGUAUUUCAGGUGUCAGACAAUGAGCCAUUUCUAAAAAGGCAGUUGAAAGGAACCCUUUUUUAUGUUUUUAUUCCCCACUGUGACAGAGACCCCCAACACUCACUCAGCCACACUUGUUUCUCCUUUUCUUGUGAGGCGCGAGGAAAUCACCCCUCCUGAGCCCCUUAGAACGUUUCCUGACGGAUCCCUCCAAAAGUGGGCUGGGCAGGCAGAGCCCCGCACUCGCUCCCGAGGGGUCAACUCCACUUCGAGUUUUUUUUGACGGGUGAGAUAUUUGCCAUUUUAUCAACUGUGAUUAAAGACGAUGCUCAAACAUGUGUAAGACUUUCCACAUUUUAUGCACACUACAAGACUAAAAGUUUUACUGAAUGUAGUUUUUGCCCUAUAUAUUUGUAAAGGACUUUCUGUUCAAAGUGGUAAACGCUUGGAAAUUACAGAGACCUUUGUGAAUCCAAUGACCAUUAGUUUAAUGCUUCCAAUUGCUUUGUGUGAUGAGAUCCAAAUCCUGCUUUUUCCUUUAACAGUUGUUUUUUUUUAAACAAGUCCAUUCUUAAUUGCACUUAUGAGCUCAGGCCAGCGUGACAGCUGGUUCCAGCCGGGCAGGGGACCAUGAGGCCUGGCUGUGGGCAGAGGCAGAGGCAGGCUCAACGUGGCAUCUGGACUCUGGGCCACAGGCCACGAGCCCACGGAGGCUGAAAAAGUGUGUAGGCUCCCAAAGACAAUCACAGUGUGUCUGAAGGAAAAGGCCUCUUCCACGAAGGGAAAAGAUGCGUAGCCUGUACUGGGGCUCUCUGGACCCUGGCAUGGGGCACUUGAGGAGAACCAGGAUGGAGCCAGCGGAAGAAAUGCCACACGCUGCAGCAGAAAACUCACAUCAGGAGAGGAACAACAGUCUCUCUUUCACAAGAGAGACGUCUUCUUUUAUGAUUAUUUUACUAUUUUUGGAUUAUUUUAUUAUUACUUUAGUUUUUUAUAAAGUAUAGUUGAUUUACAGGGUUGUGCCAAUUUCUGCUGUAAAGUGACCCAGCCAUAUAUAUAUAUAUGCAUAUACACACACAUGUAAUUCCCAUCAAGCUCUAUCCCAAAGAGACUGGACACAGUUCCCUGUGCCAUAUAGCAGGACCCCAUUGGCCAUCCAUUCUAUUGUGUAUUUCUCUUUUGAUAUAUUUUAUUUACUUCGUAUUUAUAUUGCUUAAAAUUAUAGUCGAUGUACAAUAUUGUGUAAUUUCUAUAGCACAGCAAAGUGACCCAGUCAUUCACACACACAUACAGUCCCUUCCUUUUUUUUUUUUUUUUUUUAAUCUUUUUAGGGCCGCACCCAUGACAUAUGGAGGUUCCCAGGCUAGGAGUCAAAUCGGAACUGUAGCCACCAGCCUACACAUCAGCCACAGCAACUUGGGAGCCGAACCACAUCUACACCAACACCAGAGACAACGCCAGAUCCUUAACCCACUGAGCAAGGCCAGGGAUCGAACCUGCGUCCUCAUGGAUAUCAGUCAGUCAAUUUUCCUGAGAAGUUUUCAAGCCUAAAUUAAUCUUGAUGUCUCGGAAGGCAAUGACGGAUUGGAGGUCUCAUCUGUGCUUUGGGUCAGUGCCACACUAGGAACCAGGCCUCCCAGCUACUCCACUUGGUCUCAGCUAAACUCCGUCUUCCAAUUCUUCACCUUUUCAUUUAUUUUUUAAGCUAUUUCUAUAUUUUCUGCUUCUGUCACAUGCUCUCUUACUUCCCUCUUUAGCCUCCAGGAUCCUCUGCAAGCAUUUCUCAAAGGGUCUAAGAAAUGGGCUUUGAAUCUGUGCUUACCCGUAUCAAGUUCCUAGAAAAGGAACCGGGUGGGCCUCCGCUGAAGGGUGAGAGGAGGAGUCCCCGAGGGUGUCCUGGAAAAAGUGUUGGUAGGGAAACGGGAGACGCCUCCAGCCCUGCCCAGACGCAGAGGGGACAUCCAGGCAAGUCUUCGUUUCUGCAGGCCCUGCCUGGUUCACGUGCCAGGGACGGCUGGGGCACAAGGUGACUGCCAGGGUCCCCGCCAUGACUCUGGAGUUUGAUGACUAGGAGGACGGCCUGCCUCCUCCAGGAGAGCUACCAUCCUUGAGCAAGGAGGUUACCUUCCCUCGGCCUUAGUUUCCUUAUCUCUAAAAUGGGGAGAGUAAGCGUCACUCCUUGGCUGGACUACUGAGGGGAAAAGAGGAGCUGAGGUGUGCACAAUGCCUGGCUGAGUGUCGGGUGCUCAGUUAAUGUCUGAGAAGCAUGGAUGUUAGAACUUGUCCCCUCUAAUAUCACUGGGAAGCAGGUGUUAAAUGGCUCCUUGUUAUUAUCAUUGACUAAGAUGGAUUCAAAAUAAAAUGAUCAAUGGAGUUCCCUAGUGGCUCAGUGGGUUAAGGAUCUGUCAUUGCCAGUGCUGUGGCUCGGGCUGCUGCUGUGUCUCGGGUUCAAUCCCUGGCCUGGGGACUUGUGCAUGCUGCAAGCAUGGCC